rnacentral:sRNA from 1 species
AUUCUGCCCAUGCGGGGAAGGAUGAGAAGCUUCGACCAAGGUUCGACUCGAGCGCCAGCGAGAGAGCGUUGCCGCAGGCA